rnacentral:rRNA from 1 species
CGUGUAGGCGGCCUUUUAAGUCUGGAGUGAAAGCCCCAUUUUCAAGGUGGGGAGUGCUUUGGAGACUGGAGAGCUUGAGUGCGGAAGAGGUAAGUGGAAUUCCCAGUGUAGCGGUGAAAUGCGUAGAGAUUGGGAGGAACACCAGUGGCGAAGGCGACUUACUGGGCCGUAACUGACGCUGAGGCGCGAAAGCGUGGGGAGCGAACA